rnacentral:rRNA from 1 species
UACGUAGGGUGCAAGCGUUGUCCGGAUUUAUUGGGCGUAAAGAGCUCGUAGGCGGUUUGUCGCGUCGACUGUGAAAGCCCGGGGCUCAACUCCGGGUCUGCAGUCGAUACGGGCAGACUAGAGUUCGGUAGGGGAGACUGGAAUUCCUGGUGUAGCGGUGAAAUGCGCAGAUAUCAGGAGGAACACCGGUGGCGAAGGCGGGUCUCUGGGCCGAUACUGACGCUGAGGAGCGAAAGCGUGGGGAGCAAAC